rnacentral:tRNA from 1 species
GGAAAGGUGGCCGAGUGGUUUAAGGCGGCGGUCUUGAAAACCGCUGUGGGGCUCUGUCCUCACCGUGAGUUCGAAUCUCACCCUUUCCG